rnacentral:rRNA from 1 species
AACGUAGGAGACAAACGUUAUCCGGAGUUACUGGGCGUAAAGGGCGUGUAGGUGGUUUCGUAAGUCUGGCGUGAAAUUUUUCGGCUUAACCGGGAAAGGUCGUCGGAUACUGCGGAACUAGAGGACGGUAGAGGCGUGUGGAAUUCCGGGUGUAGUGGUGAAAUGCGUAGAUAUCUGGAGGAACACCGGUGGCGAAGGCGACAUCCUGGACCGGCAUUGACGCUGAACGGCGAAAGCUAGGGGAGCAAACGGG